GACGAACGCUGGCGGCGUGCUUAACACAUGCAAGUCGAACGGAAAGGCCCGGCUUUUGUGGCGUGCUCGAGAGGCGAGCGGGUGAGUAUCACGUGAGUAACCUGCCCUUAACUUUGGGAGACCUCCAGGAAACUGGGGCUAAUACCGCAUAGGAGCUCCUGCUCCAUAGGGGGGGUUGGAGAGUGACGGCGUUGGGGGAUGGACUCGCGGCUUAUAAGCCGGUUGGUGGGGUAGUGGCUGACCAGCGCUUUGACGGGUAGGCGGCUUAAGCGGGUGACCGGCCACCAUGGGACUGAGGAACGGCGCAGAAGCCUACGGGGGGCAGCAGUGGGGAAGAUUGCACAGUAGGGGGAAGCCUGAUGCAGCAACGCCGCGUGCGGGAUGACGGACUUCGAGGGGUAAACAGCUUUUGCCUGUGACGAAGAGGGAGUGACGGUAACGGGUAAAGAAGCACCGGCUAACUACGUG
rnacentral:rRNA from 1 species